CCUCGGCCUAGAAACCUUGCAGGUGUAGCUCUUGUGUCACAUAUGUGUCAGCAGGUGGCAGAGAGGAGAGAGGCUAUGUCUAUGCUUACUGUUCUGAGCUAUGGACACCUGAAUGAGUAAUAGCCUAACAUU